GUCCCUGCGCAGCAGACGUCCCUGUGCGUCGUCAAGGCAAUGUCACUAGUCCGGGGCCAGCCCGGAGCUGAGAAGAGGGCCUCCUGGUGAAAAUGGACAGCCCGGAACGACUAACCCUCCCCACCAGAUGGCCCCUGCAGCAUAGAUGGCCCAGACCAGCUCACCCUUCCUUCCCACCGAGGGGAGUAAAUCCCAGAAGAACAUGAAAGGAAGAAUCUGAGCAAUUUCUGCAGAAAACUUCCUGUGCCUGAUCCAGAAGCUGUCAUUUGAACAGCAGUAGAUGCAUUUCCUAAUGUAAAGAACCCGCGUGCGUUGUGCCGACUACAAGCUGUACUUAAUUUUUUUGUGAGUGCUGGAGUUAAAAUAGCAGCUCAUUUGGAGACGACGUCUGAGCCUCAGACACGGAGGGCAGGUGUUCCACAAUGUUCUCUUUCCAUUUUGUAGAAAAUUGAAAGAUUUAAUGUUGCAAACAGGGGCAUACAGAGUACUGUGGAAGCAGCAGGGUCCACGGGAAGAGAUGCGCAGAACAUGUACCUAACUGGACGCUGCUGUGAGCAAUACCCUGUCCGCCUUGUUAUUUCAAGGUUCCUGACGCCACAUGAAAUGAACAAAAGGACCCCCCACGGUGGUGCAGUCACUUAGAGGUGAAGAUUAUCCAGCAUUGUGUGAAAUUGGCCUAACUAUGGGCCUAAGGCUGAACAUACACUUUAGAUCACUGUUGGCUGAACUUACUGAUUUUAUAAGAAGAUGGAGGCCUCUAACUUGUGGGGGAAAGGAGAAUCAUAUCCAGGACAAGCCAUCAGUCAGUGACCAUCUACAACAAACACUUAAAAAUAAAACUUUU